CAGAGGGGCAAGCGUUGUUCGGAAUUACUGGGCGUAAAGGGCGCGUAGGCGGCCUUCUAAGUCGAACGUGAAAUCCCGGGCUCAACCCGGGAACUGCGUCCGAUACUGGAAGGCUUGAAUCCGGGAGAGGGAUGUGGAAUUCCAGGUGUAGCGGUGAAAUGCGUAGAUAUCUGGAGGAACACCGGUGGCGAAGGCGACAUCCUGGACCGGUAUUGACGCUGAGGCGCGAAAGCCAGGGGAGCAAACGGGAUUAGAUACCCCGGUAGUCCUGGCCCUAAACGAUGAAUGCUUGGUGUGGCGGGUAUCGAUCCCUGCCGUGCCGAAGCUAACGCAUUAAGCAUUCCGCCUGGGGAGUACGGUCGCAAGGCUG
rnacentral:rRNA from 1 species